CUGGUUGAUUCUGCCAGUUGUCACAUGCUUGUCUCAAAGAUUAAGCCAUGCAUGUCUAAGUACACACUGUGGCACAGUGAAACCGCGAAUGGCUCAUUAAAUCAGUUAUGGUUUAUUAGAUCGUGCGUUCUACGUGGAUAACUGUGGUAAUUCUAGAGCUAAUACAUGCAACUAGCCCUGACUUACGGAGGGGCGCUUUUAUUAGAUCAAAAUCAAUCGGGUUCGCCCGUUUUUGUGAUGACUCUGGAUAACUUUUGCCGACCGCAUGGCCUUGCGCUGGCGGCGUAUCUUUCAAAUGUCUGCCCUAUCAACUUUCGAUGGUAGGUGAUCUGCCUACCAUGGUUGUAACGGGUAACGGAGAAUCAGGGUUCGAUUCCGGAGAGGGAGCCUGAGAAACGGCUACCACAUCCAAGGAAGGCAGCAGGCGCGCAAAUUACCCACUCCCGGCACGGGGAGGUAGUGACGAAAAAUAACAAUGCUGGGCUUCAAGUCCGGUAAUUGGAAUGAGUACACUUUAAAUCCUUUAACGAGGAUCUAGUGGAGGGCAAGUCUGGUGCCAGCAGCCGCGGUAAU
rnacentral:rRNA from 1 species